GGUGGCUCAGUGGUAGAGUGCUUGCCUGGCAUGUAUGGGGCCCUGGGUUCGAUUCCUCAGCACCA
rnacentral:tRNA from 1 species